rnacentral:rRNA from 1 species
CCUACGGGAGGCAGCAGUGAGGAAUAUUGGUCAAUGGACGAGAGUCUGAACCAGCCAAGUAGCGUGAAGGAUGACUGCCCUAUGGGUUGUAAACUUCUUUUAUAUGGGAAUAAAACGUUCCACGUGUGGGAUUUUGUAUGUACCAUAUGAAUAAGGAUCGGCUAACUCCGUGCCAGCAGCCGCGGUAAUACGGAGGAUCCGAGCGUUAUCCGGAUUUAUUGGGGUUAAAGGGAGCGUAGGUGGAUUGUUAAGUCAGUUGUGAAAGUUUGCGGCUCAACCGUAAAAUUGCAGUUGAAACUGGCAGUCUUGAGUACAGGAGAGGUGGGCGGAAUUCGUGGUGUAGCGGUGAAAUGCUUAGAUAUCACGAAGAACUCCGAUUGCGAAGGCAGUUCACUGGACUGCAACUGACACUGAGGCUCGAAAGUGUGGGUAUCAAACAGGAUUAGAUACCCCAGUAGUC